rnacentral:rRNA from 1 species
AUUGAACGCUGGCGGCAGGCCUAACACAUGCAAGUCGAGCGAGCGGCGGACGGGUGAGUAAUUUAUUGGGAUCUGCCUGAUGUAGGGGUAUAACUACUGUAAACGGUAGCUAAUACCGCAUACCAUCAGAUGAACCCAUAGGGGAUUAGCUUGUAGGUAAGGUAACGGCUUACCUAGGCGACGAUGCCUACCUGGUCUGAGAGGAUGAUCAGCCACACUGGGACUGAGACACGGCCCAGACUCCUACGGGAGGCAGCAGUGGGGAAUAUUGCGCAAUGGGCGAAAGCCUGAUGGAGCAAUGCCGCGUGAAUGAAGAAGGCUUUCGGGUUGUAAAGCACUGUUAGUAGGGAAGCGGUACCGACAGAAGAAGCAACGGCUAACUACGUGCCAGCAGCCGCGGUAAUAC